UACGUAGGGACCAAGCGUUGUUCGGAUUUACUGGGCGUAAAGGGCGCGUAGGCGGCGUGGUAAGUCACUUGUGAAAUCUCUGAGCUUAACUCAGAACGGCCAAGUGAUACUGCUGUGCUAGAGUGCAGAAGGGGCAAUCGGAAUUCCAGGUGUAGCGGUGAAAUGCGUAGAUAUCUGGAGGAACACCGGUGGCGAAGGCGGCAUCCUGGACCGGCAUUGACGCUGAGGCGCGAAAGCUAGGGGAGCAAACGGG
rnacentral:rRNA from 1 species